UCCGGUGGUGAUGCGUAUCGGGGCAACACCCGUUCCCAUCCCGAACACGAUGGUUAAGACUGAUACGGCUGACAAUACUUGGCUGGAGACGGCCUGGGAAGAUAAGUGGCUGCCGGAU
rnacentral:rRNA from 1 species